ACUGGAGCACAUCAGGCUAUGGAGAGCAAGAUGAACUGACAACCUACAGGUUCAGAACUCCCACACUUAUGCAUACGAGCCAUAAACAAAGUGAAACCUUUUACUAAUACCAACAUUCCUGUUCAAUGUAACAACGUUAUUCACAAGUUAAUUCAUUCAAACCGCUUUGAAAACAUGAAACAAUGUAGAUACUGACAGAUGCUCUACUCUUUGUCAGUCACUCACACACUGCUCUCUCUGUGAAGCUGUUCUCCACUCUAGAUGUGCUGGGGGUGUCCGAGAUGAACCUGUCAGCCAAUCAGUGGAAGGAUGAGAUGACUCGUCUGGACUGGAAGGCGGAGUCAGGUGAGAAGCCCCUACCGAAGAGAGGGGGAGACCCCCUGUGUGGGAGGUGACCUCAAGCCCAUGGAGAACACCUUCCUGCCCCGUGUCAGGCAGAGAUAGUCAAUCACCAACCUCCGUUCCAGAACUAGCCAAUGAUCAAUCCCUGUGGCUUAGCAAUUUGAACUCACUGCCUUGAUUGGAUGUAAUAAUUUGGAGUCUGAGUACAUGAAGAUGAAUCAAAUGAACAGGAUUUCUUGUCAUAAUUGAGUUGACCGGAGUGGGUUUUAAAUGAGCUCCUAUAAAAGAGCUUCUUUGAAGCCACUGAACAAUUCCUUUAUGUUGUAAUUUUAGUGCCAAUACCACAACCUUUCCAGUAUUUCAAAGCCAUUUUCCGUAACUACUUAUUACUAAAUCGUCAUUUGCUUCUAACAUCAAACUAUUCACAYACCUGUUACCAAUAUAUAUUUUCUGAUUCACAUACUGGUGCACAUUCUCUACAUGCCGAGUGAAUAUUCUGUGCAAUAAGCGAUUUUUAUUCCUCUCGAAUGUGCCUUUCGUAAAUGAGUGGUUAAGGCUGCAUUUACAUGGGCAAAAGAUCCAAUCUGAUUGGUCAGAAGACCAAUUAGUGGCAAAAGAUGAGAAUUGAACAGCUUGUGUGUUGAAUCAGAGUGAACAAUGUGCAGCUGAUAUUAAACCCAGGUUGUUUCUCAGUGUGUUCACUCACCCAUUCCUCCACAUGACUAUAAUAUGUACUACAAUGGAAGUCAAAGCACAUUGACAAUUACACAACAGCUGUUAUAAAAAUGAACCAUCAGUAAAAGCUAUUUUUCACCAGAAUAAAUGACUUCUCCACACUUGCCAUAAAGACUUUUAUUAGACUGUCACAACAGUCAUAAAUAAAACAGAAUUGAUGCUUCACUUCAGUAUGAAGCCAGUAUGUGUAUUUCCAAUACAGGGCUAACUAGACAUCCCAUAAUGAAGUUGCCCAUAGAUGCUGACACUGGGUCAGUUUAGCAUUCUCCCCACUAAUGGUAAUGUAGAGGAUUGGGGGAGGGGAAGCUGGUCCUAGAUUGGUACCAAGGCGGAAACUUCACCCCGGAGUUCAAAGUUAGUUAUGUCUGGGGCCUGGAGUUUCAMCUGGUUGCUGCGCCAUGAUUGUGUCCAGUAUACCUUAGUGGACAGAUUCUGCUGAGCUGGACAUGAGGAUACCAAGUGGGAGGGAAGAAAAGAGAGGAGACUCGCUCCACCAUCACUCCAUCUGGUCAGUCUGUUCCAGGUCAUGGGAGUAACAGCAUUUUUCACCGUGUGUGCAUUUACCCUGGAGAGAGA
rnacentral:lncRNA from 1 species